AGCGAACGCUGGCGGCAGGCCUAAAACAUGCAAGUCGAACGCCGUAGCAAUACGGAGUGGCAGACGGGUGAGUAACACGUGGGAACAUACCCUUUGGUUCGGAACAACACAGGGAAACUUGUGCUAAUACCGGAUAAGCCCUUACGGGGAAAGAUUUAUCGCCGAAGGAUUGGCCCGCGUCUGAUUAGCUAGUUGGUGGGGUAACGGCCCGACCAAGGCUACGAUCAGUAGCUGGUCUGAGAGGAUGAUCAGCCACACUGGGGACUGAGACACGGCCCAGACUCCUACGGGAGGCAGCAGUUAGGAAUCUUGGACAAUGGGCGCAAGCCUGAUCCAGCCAUGCCGCGUGAGUGAUGAAGGCCUUAGGGUU
rnacentral:rRNA from 1 species